AUGCGCGCCAUGACAAGCCCUCCACGACCUCGCCCCACCACCUCCCCUCCCUUAAAUUCAUGCACAACCUCCUCCCCAAAAAGUUCAGACCAGAGAGAGAAUUCAUCAAUGGAGCUCCAGUUCCAGCAGCAGCAGCAGCAGCAGCAGCAAUGCCAGUACGAGGCGGCGGUGGGCAAGGCGGCGGCGGCGGCGGCGAAGGGGAGGGGCAGCAGCAAGUGCAAGUUCGUCGGGGUGCGGCAGCGGCCGUCGGGGAGGUGGGUGGCGGAGAUCAAGGACACCACGCACAAGAUACGGGUGUGGCUCGGCACCUUCGAGACCGCCGAGGAGGCCGCGCGCGCCUACGACGAGGCCGCCUGCCUCCUCCGGGGCUCCAACACGCGGACCAACUUCGCCACCGCCGCCCCCGCCGCCGCCUCCUCGCCGCCGGACUCGCCGCUCGCGUCCAGGAUCCGCACCCUGCUCACCCACAAGAAGCUCAAGAAGAGCGCCUCCCCGCCGCCGCGGGCGCCGUCCCAGCAGCCCGCUGUUACCAUCGGCCUCGCCACGGCAGCUAGUAAUGCCAGCGCCGGUAACAGCACCGGCAGCACCAGCUCGACCAUCAGCUUCGCCAUGAGCGCCGGUGGAGCCGCCGCUCAUCACACUCCCACUCCCGGCCUCUCUAACCACAUGACCUACCACCAGUGGAUCAACCACGGAGGCGAACAGCUCCAUCAACACCUCGAGCAUCAGCCAUGGCCGGCAACACUCAGCCCGGCUGCCCCGACGCUCGCCGCGCGACGCAACGUGGCCGAGUGCCGGGUGAUCGCGGACGCGGCGAGGCCGGAGAAGCAAGAAGACACCGCGUCGCCCGGCGCAGCCAUGAGCGGGGUCGUCCAGCAGGAGCAGGACGACGGGUUCGACAUCGGGAGCGACCCCUGCGACUCGCUGUGGGAUCUGCCGCCGAUCUGUCAGCUGUCCUGCCUGGCAGGUCUCUCAUCAUGCACUAGAGGUUGA
rnacentral:rRNA from 1 species